CAAGCCUCCAUGUUGGUGCCACGUCUAUCCAAGGCUGUCGUCCUGGAGAUGAUGAUAUAACAGCACGAAGACAUUAAAAGAGACGUGCCUGGGCAGAGCUAAACACCCUAGCUAUCAGGUCAAGUUAUAUAAGCCAUUAAGAGACAACCUGCUGAAUUGUGUCCAGAGCCUCGUCUUCUACCUACACCUUCCCAGAACACAAAGUAGAAAGGUGCCGGUUCGCUUUUCUAUGCUACUUUUUACAGAUUUAACUAGCUACAGAAGCAGAUGCAAACAUGUCUUUCUACAAAUUAGAAGAGCUUGAACUGCUCUUACUACUCAGGAGGAGAAAUCAAAAAACAAGGGAGAAAAUGAAAUGUUCGUUCACUGAACACUACGAGAGGGCAGUGUGACCAUAUCCAGGUUCUUCUGGCCUUGAUGUGCACAACAACCUCAAGGACUACUUCCUCACACCACCUGUUCCAGUGUCUUUCCAUUAUACUGCUAUCACAGUGGCACCCUCCAGUAAAUGUUCAUGUUGGUGUGGUUUGGAAAAUAUGUUCCCUACCUCUGGGUGAUGACUGUUUAUAUGUCAUGUUGUGAGCUUGACACUUGGUUUUGCAGUUUUUCUUAUUCACACUUAACAUAUCACAAUAAAGGGUAAAGUGCCAAUGUCAGUAUGCAUUGGUGGGGAUAUUUAAGACCAACCGAAAGCUAGUUUUAGUGGUAACAUGGUUGGUUAUGUUAUGGAUUUUGACAACGGAAGCACAGCCAACUUUUUUUAUUCUAAUUUAGUUAAAUUUUCUUUAAAAAACCAAGCAUAGCCUCCCCUCCUUUUAAUAAAGGCAUUUUGUUGUCCUGCCCAAUGCAUUCGCCAAGUAGUCAAGACUAUCAAUAAAGGGUUUGGCUUGUGAGACCGCUUUUAAAUAAAUCUUAAUCACCAAAGCUUUAAUCAAAGAUCAAGUUUGGCAGCAGCAAAACAGUGAGAGAACAUCCCCUUUUUUAUCUAUGUGGGCCCUCCAUACUUAACUGGCAGACAAUGACCUAUUUUUUUUUUUCAACCCCAAGUAUCAUAUAAACACACAUACAGUAAGACAUGGAAGAAUGCAUAAAAUGGCAGGAAAUUAGAUUAAAACAGCAACAACAAAGAAACUGCCUCACGCAAAAUGUGCAGAAUUGCGGGAAAUGAGCUUAAAAUCUACAACAUUUUCUCUCUGCCAACAAGAGGGGUGUGAACAGUUUGGGGUCGCAUGGGUUGCGAGGUGGGGGUUUGUUACUAUCCAUCUAGACCUUUGCCUCCUCUGAAAUGUGUGUGACCCGGACCUUCUCAAAUAGUACUCGAUUACCCCUGAUGUAGGCUAUUAUAUUAUUUUUUGCCAGCUCCUGUUAUUAUAUAACCUUCUUAUUACCAGCUAGUUUGAUUUGAAUGAUGCAGCAACAACACCUUGUCGGCUUUUCGGCCUCCUGCGCCGGUUCCUAGAGGGAAGUGGACUGCGUGAUGCAGAGGCUCUCCUUGCAGGGGGAUUUUUAUCACUACCGCUGAGCUGUGGUGGUCUUACUAGCGCCUUUACAGUCGCCGAAUCAUCACCCAGGCGGGUGCUACGUUUCAGUCGUGGACGAUCCAGCCUGAUCUACGGAGGAGGUGGUGUGAACAUCGAAGACGACGAGGUGCCGUGGCCGUCAGAUGUCUUUCCCUGCCUGGCUGUACCAUCAAUGCUCCCUCCUCUCAAGAUACUACCUCUCUGAACUGACUAUUAUCUUAAGCUGUGGAAGAUCAUCGCUCAAUAACUGGCAGAUCUUCCUACAUUUCUUUUGUUAAAGUGUUUUCAUGUUUUGUUUUUAAAGCAACUUUGAGACUCAACCUGUAAUGAAAGGCACUGUAUAAAAUACUAUUAUGAUUUUGGAAGUGUGUAAAAACUCCUCCAUAUAGGAUAUAUGCCCAUCGUGAGAUAGAUGAGAUAAUCCGGUGACACUCCUAUUUUGAAACAUGUAAGUUAUUUUCCUGUAACAAUUGCUUUUUUUCUAUUUCCUUUGUUAAAAAUGAGGCUACCCUUACCCUACCAUAACAAAAGCUGGUUCAACAGCAAUGCGUCUGGUGUAUUUCUUAUCCUGGUCAUGCAUUAGCCAAGUGACCUAUACGUAAAAUGUUUCUAAAUUAUACUCAUAAAGCUUUUGCUGACGUGCUUUUGCAUGAUUCACAAUUCACAUGGGCCUACCUGCAGUGCAUGCUCCUUCCGGCUUGUAUCAUUCCCAUUUCCAAAGGGCACCUCUUGUCUGGUUACCAAAGAUGAGCUCCUCCAAACAUAUUUGACUUAUUCAGUCCUCUAAUGCAGUAUCAACGGUAGGCCUAGCCUGUAUCUUGCUUCUUGAGAACGUACCUCACAUAUGCAAUGCAAUUUACGGGAGCAUAGUAUUUUUUUUAUUUGAGGAGAAGUGCGAUGAGUGACAAAGACCUAUAGUCAUUGAAGCUAAUUACAACAAUGUAAACAUAUUGAGCAAACACUGGGUGUUUUGUUUUUACUGUUGCUCUCACUCAUUACUGUGGCCUAUGCUAUUUAACAAACUGUAGUAUCAAUCCACAAUGAACUAGGACAGAAUAGUCCAUGCCUCCAGCCAAAUUGUACUCGAUGGCAAUGCAAAGACCGUAAAUA